UACGGAGGGGGCUAGCGUUGUUCGGAAUUACUGGGCGUAAAGCGCGCGUAGGCGGACCUGCAAGUCGGGGGUGAAAGCCCGAGGCUCAACCUCGGAACUGCCUUCGAUACUGCGGGUCUCGAGUCCGGGAGAGGUGAGUGGAAUUCCUAGUGUAGAGGUGAAAUUCGUAGAUAUUAGGAAGAACACCGGUGGCGAAGGCGGCCUGCUGGGCAGUAGCUGACGCUGAGGCGCGACAGCGUGGGGAGCAAACAGG
rnacentral:rRNA from 1 species